ACACCCCAUCAUUGCAAAGUUUGAACACUUCCAACAAAAAAAUGUUAAUGAAAUCAAAAGGUCGUGAGCUCAAAGGGACAUUGUUUGGAAUGAACAACCAGUUCCCCAAGGAAAUCAAGAGGCGUAAAAUCUUGUAGUCAAUCUUCAAUCUGGUCUAAUCUAGUAAUCUUGUUCUUAUUGAAGAACCACCGUGAGAAAGGCAAACGAGUGUGGCUGGUUGUCGACAAACUAUAUACGUCGACGGGCAACUGUUCCAUGAUGCCAACGUCACGCCCUGGCUCUUCUAGCUCUGGUGGAAAGGCCCAGGCUCAAGCAGGAUUUUGAAGAACCUUAUUGGUCUGUACUAUCGAAGACGAAGGCCUGGAGAGUCAAAUAUAGACGCAGACACUCUAUCGCGCCUCCCCCUGGAUGUGGAAUGAUAUAAAAGGACCUGUACCGAGGAGCUUUCCAUUGAGGGAGUGCAAGCAGCCAUUUCGGCGCCUUCUAGGAGGCACGAGAUUUUUGCACAGAUGCAGAGACCCCUAAGAAGGCCAGAACCCACUAGAGAAUCCUCCCAGUGCUACACUCUGAGCCUCCUGGAUGCGUCGCCUCUACUAAAAUCGCAGCCAGAUGACAUUGUGACAAAAAGGGGGUGCACACCGGUAACGCUGACGAAGUCCACCAGUGGUCGCUCUCACUGACCACUCUUUCAAGUUUUUGCCACCACAGGACCCCUUGAUGAGAUGCGAAAUUGGGCCCUCUGAGUCGCAUAUUAUGGGCCCCGUCUCUAAUCAUUGGUCCACCUAUUCAGCUGUCAAGCUAACCUCGAUUGUGUCUUCCUUGAUUAGCUGGUUGUCACUUUCAGUGGCCGCUAAGUCAUUGUGCUGCUUUUGUGAUUUUCACAUACGACGUGGGCGUUGUCAGAGACCUCGGACGUCCCGUGCACUUGUUCCCGACAGCUUGCAAAGCGCACCUCAGUUCCUGAAUUCCUUUUGUGCUGGCUCCCAGAUUUCCUCUUCUCCUUUGCGUUAUUCCUGAUGUCGAAGGUGUCUGCUUUUCAUUUGAUCUUUCUGUGUCUCGCCUUGGCUGCCACUCAUUCAAUUCUCCCUUCGUGCACACUGCUCUAGCUUAACUCUGGGUUGUCCUUGGCUUUGCACCUGCUCAUUUGCAUUAUCGUGGACUUUUGUUAUUGCGCCUCCGUGAAGCGCACUUCACAGCCAUUCGUGGCAUCACGUAGCGAAAGGGGGUCACACAAGCAUCCGCCCACGAUGCACCAUGCACAAAACGAAGGUUGGUCAACACAGUGAGACCGGACCAGUCAAGCAGGUCAAACCUCCGUGACAGUGUCCUUGCUUCACUAGGUCCGCCGACACAGAUGCUCAACCAAGACAAAGGUGAAACCGAACGCGUUGUCAUGGACAACUGUUAUAGCCAUAAGUGGGGUGAUAUGCACUAAUGUUGGACUUUGGUAACUGCAUUUGUGUGCGUCUUCCUGCCAACCUGUCCCAUCUUCCAAAGAGACGUCGCCUAGAUCCACCAUCGAGCUGGAUCAAGUCGACAAAGGGGGGAUAUGAAAUGGACAUGCUCUCACCAGAUGGCACCAUGACCCUCAACCCCGGACUGAGCUUGCAUCACUGUCUCCGGUCCCCCGCCGUGACAGGCAACCACAAGGAUGCCUGGUUCAUCUCACACGGAUGCUAAAGGAAUUACCAGCCAGUCCGAAGGAGCUCAUCAAAGUGGAAAUGAGGAAUCCUGACUCCUCACCCCAGACGUUAAGUUAAUUAGCAGUUACCUCAGAAACCUGCCCUCCUGUCAUCAGGAGACCCCCUGGGUGUGCAGGGCUCAAGAUACCAAUCAAAAAGCUUGAAAAUCCACUCAUCCCGCAUGUCAAGAUAAAGUUCAAAAGGCAAUUUGUUCUAUCUGUCUGGGACAAUAGAUGGAGCACUAGCGACACCCUCAGGCAGCUGAAAACUACUGAAACUCCGGAGGAACUAAUCACAAUCUUCACUGGAUUUGAAUGUUAUAUGAUAUUUUAGAAACUUUGCAUGAACGCUGCCAGUGUUACCAUCACAACAGCGUCACUACUGAUUGUAUUUCUGCAAAUUUGAAUGUCUGAUAUCAAAUCUGUUUGUCAACUAAACCGGAUGAGAUGUUUCACCCCACACAAAACAAAUGUCACAUUGGAAAUAUUACAGUGUUCCCAACAACCACAUACAAUUGAAACAUUCAUUACAGGGUGUAAAGAGGAUUUGCGCGUGACAAUGCAAAGCUGGAAAAUGGUGGCGUUAUCUUAAAUCCAACAAUUAUUUUAUCCCACCGGUUGUAAACUACAAAAUAAUCCUAGGAUGGAAAACUAACAUGAAGAGGUGGUCUAUCUUCCCUUUGGCCCCGGAGCGGGGGGAAGCACCCACUUUUCAGCUGGGCAUAAAGGCCGGAGGCCCCUUUUGUUGAGCAAGCUCGAUCAACCAACUUGCCGAAGGCUGGCUCAGCCAGGAAGCACCACCUCUCACCAUGAGGUGGGCGAGGACACAUCGGAGCGUUACCCGCUGCAGGGCACCCUGCGAUCGCACCCCGAGCUACCCUUUUGGGUGCCUGGACAAGCUCCAUUGGGAAGGAAGCGGGCAGCGCACGCCUGCGCCAAGAUUCUUGCGAACGACGACACCCCGGCUCCAGCUGCCUUGGAAAUCUUGUUUUUUUUCCCCCCUUUUUCCUUCCUCCUUUUUUCAUCCAAAUCCACCUGUUCCCCGUGUGGACCGGACUGGCCAAACAUUCGGGAGAUAGACCAGCCUGCCUAAAUUGUGUUCCAUGCACGUAAAUCCAAUUUGCAGUCUACUAAAGUAGAGAUUAGUGCGUAUUUGGGUUUAAAUUAACAAGAACAGGAACACCCAGCUAUAUGCAUUGUCACUACACGGUCAUUUCACAAGUCAGUCUCCUUUGUCAAUGUUUGGCUGGAGAUGGUAGAUUCACCCGUUAGAUCUUAAAUUUUCUAUAAAAAGUCACUACCUGUAUCAUUUGUGUGCGUUUGGGUGCAACAAAAGACCUGGUUAUCGAGAACUCUUAUCUAAUUCCUGUGGCAACCUUCAGAUUACGAGACAUUGAGGUUUUUCGUCACUUUGUCCUGACGUUUUACACGUCUAAAAAGAGAUUUGGUGCCCCUUUACGUGAUGAAAAAUAAUUUGAUUUUAACGCUGAAACUUAAAAUCACGCUAAACCGGAAGUGACGCAGUUGUCGCUUCCGGUUUAUUCUUUUCUCCUAAAUUAAGUUUUUAUCCAAACAAUAUACGCUACACUCAAUAUACGUACCAGGCACCCACUACACACAUUCCACCAACCCUGCUUGCGUUUUAAGAGAUUUAAAAUGAAAUCGAAAGGGUUUAAGAGUUCAUUUGUAUUUAUAGAAGUUUCGAAAUGUCAGGAGCCAUUUUUUAUUUGUUAGGGAGCAUGUGAUGCUCACUCAGUCAGAUCACAUUAGUGAAAUGUUUUAUUUAUUUUUGGCAAGGUUUUGAGUGUUUGUAAUUUAUUUUCCCUUUUUAAAAUCCAAUUGGUGUCACAUAUUCUGGUUUUAUUGUAUAACACACACAAUACUAAUUUUGGUCAGUCGGUGGAAAUAUACCACAAUCAGUUAUGCCAGAGUUACCUGACGCUGUAGUCUAUUGCGCAUGCGCGAGGUCAUUUCUUCAUAGCCAAGGAGGAUUGGUUAACGACAGACAACUGUGUCAGUGUCUCUGUUUUUCCUCACAUUUUAACCCAUUUUUCAGGUGGGUAAAGACUUAAAAACCACUUGUGUACCUACUUUGUAUUUUACUUUGGUGUUCUAAUGGUAUAAGAUAAGUGUAGAGAAGAGAGUGUUGUGUUGAGUGUAGCGUGUCUAUGUAUUAUUUGUCCUAUUUGUAGCUAGAGUCUAGUCAACUGACUGACUGGCUUCAUUUAUGUUAUGCUCUUAAGCAGUGUUCUUAAAUAGUUACAGAAGUUAAUAGGAAAUUUCACCAAGUGUGCCACUCUACAUAAUGUCCAUUCUUUCAAUAAUAUGACUAUUUGUGAGUCCCAUAAAGGUCUUUUGACAUUUAUACAGAAAUGCACUUUUAAUGCAUAUUUCAAUAUUCAUCCAAAAUUGUGUUUUGGGAAGUCAAUGAAAAUAACAGAGAUUACAAUGUUUAUUUUGAAUGUAGUGAAGACUGAGAUGACAAAGAAAUGUGUAAUGUAAGAUCUAUGACCAAAAGAGAGUGUGAAUUUAAAUGUCGAGAUGGACAAUGAUAAUGCAGUACUGUUUAUAGUGGGUAAAUUAAGGAAAUGGAACAAAAGUAUUCAGUUAGGCAUUUGUGUAAAUUGUGAAAUUGUAAAUAAAUUUAGCAAGGAGGAUUAGUGAACGACAGGCAACUAUGUCAGUGUCGCCGUCUUUCCUCACAUUUUAACCUGUUUUUCAGGUAACGUAUAUCUGUUUGGUGCCCUAUUCUGGUACCUGCGUGCGCACACACACACACACACACACAGUUCCCUUCAAAAGUAUUGGAAGGGCAAAUUUGCUUCGAUCACGUACUCCUCGCAAGAUUUCUGACAGAGGAGUGUAAAGAAUAAUCAGAAGAGUUUUCCAAGAGCCAAGGGCCACCUGUGGAGAGCUUCAAAAAGACCUGGAAUUAGCAGGUACUGUUGUCACAAGGAAAACCGUGAGAAAUGUACUCCGCCGCCAUGGCCUGUAUGCACGCUCACCACACAAGACCCCAUUGCUGGACAAAAAGCAUGUCAAAGCUCAUUUAAAGUUUGCUGAACAACAGUUGGACAAGCUAGUUAAAUACUUGGAGAUUAUAGUCUGGUCGGAUGAGAGCAAAAUUGAACUCUUUCGAUCCCAUAAUGCACACCACGUUUGGAGGAGAAAUGGCACUGCAUAUCACCCUAAAAACACCAUACCAAUAGUGAAGUUCGGAGGUGAGAGCAUGAUGGUGUGUGGCUGCUUUUCAGCAAAUGGUACUGGUAAACUUCACAUAAUUGAAGAAAAGAUGAAUGGUCAAAUGUACAGAGACAUUGACAAAACAGACCAAACAGGUUUUACAAAAAGAAUGAGCGCCACCAACAAUGUCAGGCGACUGAUAAACCCAAUAAGUAUGUCUCAGCGUAAUAAUCUAAAAUCAAUUGUCUUGCCACUUUUGACAAAGAUAACUGGGCUUUUCUUUUUGCUGUACUUCACAAAUUUGGUUUCGGUGAUUAAUAUAUUCACUGGAUCGUUAUACAACUCACCCAAAGCAACCGUCACCACAAAGUGGGUCACAUCACAGUUUCACUUUACAAAAAGGAACGAGACAAGGAUGCCCACUCUCGCCCCUGCUAUUCGCACUAUUUAUCGAACCACUGGCAAUAGCAAUACGGCAAAACACUAAUAUUAAAGGUAUCUGUACUCCUGUGUCAGAACACAAAAUCAAUCUUUUUGCAGAUUAUAUCCUUUAUUUACAAGAACCAUAGCCAUCACUUCAAACAUUUUUAACCUCAUUGAGAUUGUUUUCCCAAUUAUCAGAAUAUGAUAUCAAUUGAUCAAAAUCAACAAUACUACCUAUAACGACUAGCUCCUGGAAUCCUGCGGACCAAAUUCCAAUCUUUCCUAUUCCAACAGAGAAUAUCAAAUAUCAAGGCAAUAAUAUCUCAGCAAAACUUAAUUUAAAUCAUGUACCUCUACUGGAAAAUAUUUGUGAUGAUUUAAAAUGUGGCGGCACGGUGAGCGACUGGUUAGAGCGUCUACCUCACAGUUCUGAGGAACGGGGUUCAAUCCCCGGCCCUGCCUGUGUGGAGUUUGCAUGUUCUCCCUGUGCCUGCGUGGGUUUUCUCUGGGCACUCCGGUUUCCUCCCACAUCCCAAAAACAUGCAUGGUAGGUUAAUUGAAGAAUCUAAAUUGCACGUAGGUGUGAAUGGUUGUUUGUUUAUAUGUGCCCUGACAGGCUGGCGACCAGUACAGGGUGUACCCCGCUUCUUGCUCAAAGAUAGGCUCCAGUACGCCUGCGACCCUAGUGAUGCUAAGCGGUACGGAAAACGGACGAAUGGACGAAGUGCAGUGUUAAUGUUCAGACGUGCAUAAAGUUACUGUCGUUUAAACUUUUUUUUAAUCCAGUGAAUGUUUUACUUUCCAUGUACACUGCAUUUUUUUAAGGACAGUUCAGUCCUAUUUAACUUUAACUCAUUCAGUGACAGCCCUCCCAGUUAACAUGGAUAUUUGACUUCUAAAGCAGUCAGUGGCACUGAAUGUGUUGAAGUACAAUGCAUUUGCAUUUAAUCUUUAAGAACUCUUUUUUAACAUUUAGGUAAAAUUUUUACUUUUUAUUUUGAAUACAUUUUUAAUAAUAAAAAAAUAUUUUUUAAAUAAUUAUUCAAAUACCGUUUUUUAAAAAUACCCCUGUAUUUAAACGCUUUUAAGUCAAAUUGCAUAAUGUUACAGUGGUGUACAUUAAUAAAUGCACUUUUUUAGGAAUACAGUCCUCUGUAUUGAUGUAUUUACAUUUCAUUGUUUUUUAAAAUCACGUUUAUUUGUGUAAAAAGUAAAGUAAUAGAAAUGUAAUCAAGUAUAAUUAAAUAUGUUACUCUGAGAAAGCAAUUGAAAUAGUUACACCACUAUUUCAUUUUCAACAGGGUAACUUGUAAUUGUAACAAUUACAUUUUCAAAGUAAUCUUCCCUACACUGCUAAAUGAGCUGAAUGACUUCUUUGCUCGCUUUGAGGCACACAAGACUCCACCUCCUCCUGGUGACCAAGUGCUGACACUGACCCGGCAGCACCAGCACCAUCACUCUGAACAUGGGGGCCCCUCAAGGUUGUGUGUUGAGCCCCCUUCACCCUGCUGACUUAUGACUGCACACCGACGUACAGCGCCAACCUCUUCAUCAAGUUUGCAGACGACACAACUGUGGUGGGUCUCAUCAGCAACGGGGACGAGACAAACUACAGGAGUGUGGUGAGCCGCCUGGCCGGGUGGUGCUUGGACAACAGUCGCUCCCUGAAUGUGGAAAAAAACAAGGAGGUUGUUGUGGACUUCAGGAGAGCACACCCAGCAUGCUCCCCUGAACCUCAACGGUGCUGUGGUGGAGAGGGUGGGCAGCACCAAGUUCCUGGCAGUGCACAUCACUGAGGACCUCUCUUGGACCAGCAACACCUCAUCACUGGCCAAGAAAGCUCACCACCGUCUCUACUUCCUGCGCAAGUUGGGAAGAGCCAGAGCCCCAACCCCCAUCAUGUGCUCGUUCCACUGUGCGGUAUGGAGCCUGCACUGCAUCCUGCCUCAAGACUCUCCAUCGCAUAGUGAGGGCAGCUGAGAAGAUCAUCGGAACCUCUCUUCCCUCCCUGCAGGACAUUUACAGCACCCGCCUCACCCUCAAAGGCCUCAGCAUAGCGGGGGAUGCUACCCAUCCAUCACACAGCCUCUUCAGUCUGCUCCCAUUAGGCAGGAGACUGAGACUAGCCGACCCAGUUUUAUUCAUCAGGCUGUCAGGACUCUGAACUCUCUGCCCGCUCUGCCCCCUCUACCUCUUCUGUCCUCUGCCCACCUGAACUCUGCCCCCCCCCCCCAAAAAAAAACAUGUAGAUGCACACGCACGCACACACACACACCAGACUCAGGGUCGCACCUGCCACAUUAGGGUUUUGUCAUCUAAUAUCCAUCCAUUUUCUGAGGCGCUUCUCCUCAAUAGGGUCGCGGGCGUGCUGGAGCAUAUCCCAGCUGUCAUUGGGUAGGAGGCGGGGUACACCCUGAACUGGUUGCCAGCCAAUCGCAGGGCACAUAGAAACAAACAACCAUUCGCACUCACAGUCAUGCCUACCGGCAAUUUAGAGUCUCCAAUUAAUGCAUGUUUUUGGGAUGUGGGAGGAAACCGGAGUGCCCGGAGAAAUUUAGCUUUUGUCUUUUGUAGCACCGCGACCCCUUGAGUACCGUAAUUUCAAUCCUCUGUAUGUGUUACGCAUAUUGAAGAAUUGAUAAUAAAAGUACCUUGUACCUCUUAACUAUUACAAAUAAAAAUCAAUACUACUGUGUCUCUCCAUAAUGAUACAGCUGUACAUAAAACAUUCCUUGUAACCAUUCUGACAGCUUUGGUUAGUCUAAGUGCAUUCUUAUAUAUAUUUUUGUACCUUUUGACACUUGACUUUUAUGUUAAAUGCAUGGCAAUGUAAUCGGUUUAACUGCUUGUACAAGUGGAAUAAUAAUCCAUGUCUGGUUCAUUUCUGUCCAAACUGCGUGGAGUUUAACUUUUCUAAACAGACUGACUGUACUUCUAUAUGAAUUAUGUGCAGAGGGUUUUCUGUAUUAAAGAGGAUAGGCUUGAUACUUUCCAUUUCCGCCAAAUAUUCAGAGAAUUAACUGUGAUGGUGUUUAAACUCAAGACAUGCAUGUAACAUCCAUCCACCAAUCCAUUUUCUUUACUGCUUAUCCUCACUAGGGUCGCGGGCGUGCUUGAGGCUAUCCCAGCUAUCUUUGGGCGAGAGGAGGGAUACACCAAGAACUGGUUGCCAGCCAAUCUGCAUGUAACAUAUUUAGAAUUUGAGAUACAUUACUUUUCAGCUCCAAUCUUUUUUUCUUGUUUUUCCUCACUAGACUUGAAGAAUCACAUGUUUUUUUUAAAAUAGAAAUUUCAAAUUAAAUUUUAUAUUUACAUUAACA